UAAAUGCACCAAGGAAAUGAAGCCA
rnacentral:piRNA from 1 species